UACGUAGGCGGCAAGCGUUGUCCGGAUUUACUGGGCGUAAAGAGCGCGCAGGCGGUCGUUCAAGUCGAGUGUGAAAGCCCCCGGCUCAACUGGGGAGGGUCAUUCGAUACUGAUCGACUCGAAGGCAGGAGAGGGUAGUGGAAUUCCCGGUGUAGUGGUGAAAUGCGUAGAUAUCGGGAGGAACACCAGUGGCGAAGGCGACUACCUGGCCUGUUCUUGACGCUGAGGCGCGAAAGCUAGGGGAGCAAACGGG
rnacentral:rRNA from 1 species